UGAAUGGUCUAGAUCAGACACAAAAGGCAUGUUCUUUUUCUUUCUUUUUCUCCUGGAAGAGCCCACUUGGGUUCAUUAUCUGAUUAUCCUGUCCAUCUGGUAGGUCAUAACAUAGACGAUUUUAAGCCUGACUCGGUGUGGUUCAUUGAGUCAACUCGCUAACUCGACUCUAAAAGAUUGGUUUCGAACCUAAGAUCUCAAGGUGAAAGAGCAACACCUCUAAUCAGCAAGCCAUCAUAUCUCAAGCCCAUGGUUCAUUCCCUUUGCAUAUGUGACCGUCGCAAAGCACAUACAACCUAGUCGAGGGGCUAUGGUUGGGAGAUACAGUCGAGUCAUGGUGGAACCAACAACGAAUUUGGCUCUACAGAAGGACAUCGGCAUUCUUCUUCGCCAACAUCGAUGUGGCACUCAAGUUAUCAGGGCUUGCCAAGUCAGCAUUCGCAAUAACAGCCAAGGAAACUGACGACAAGAUUGCGAAGAGGUAUGAACAGGAGAUCAUGGAGUUUGGGUCCAAUUCUCCCAUGUUCACCAUCCUAGCCACGCUGGCGAUGUUGAACCUCUUCUGUCUAAUUGGUGGAAUCAAGAGGCUAGCCAUGGGGUGAUGAAGUAGGAGACAUGGAGGCAUUGGUGUUGCAGUUUGUUCUAUGUGGGGUGUUGGUCAUUAUCAACUGGCCUAUCUAUCAAGGGCUCUUCUUGCGCAAGGAUAUGGGACGCCUGCCCACUACAGUUGCAUUUACAUCUAUUGGUUUAGCUGUGCUGGCUUGUCUAAAUCCCAUGCAUUAGAGCAUGUGCCACAUAUAUAACAUUUUGGAUUAUUUUGAUGCAGACACCAAAACCAUAGUUUUCAAGUCGAACCCAUUAUUCAAGUA